rnacentral:rRNA from 1 species
UGGGGGAAUUUUGGGACAAUGGGCGAAAGCCUGAUCCAGCAAUGCCGCGUGUGUGAAGAAGGCCUUCGGGUUGUAAAGCACUUUUGUCCGGAAAGAAAUGGCUCUGGUUAAUACCUGGGGUCGAUGACGGUACCGGAAGAAUAAGGACCGGCUAACUACGUGCCAGCAGCCGCGGUAAUACGUAGGGUCCAAGCGUUAAUCGGAAUUACUGGGCGUAAAGCGUGCGCAGGCGGUUGUGCAAGACCGAUGUGAAAUCCCCGAGCUUAACUUGGGAAUUGCAUUGGUGACUGCACGGCUAGAGUGUGUCAGAGGGGGUAGAAUUCCACGUGUAGCAGUGAAAUGCGUAGAGAUGUGGAGGAAUACCGAUGGCGAAGGCAGCCCCCUGGGAUAACACUGACGCUCAUGCACGAAAGCGUGGGGAGCAAACAGGAUUAGAUACCCUGGUAGUCCACGCCCUAAACGAUGUCAACUAGGUUGUUGGGGGAUUCAUUUCCUUAGUAACGUAGCUAACGCGUGAGG